rnacentral:tRNA from 1 species
GCCUUCGUAGCUCAACGGCAGAGCGUGCCUCUGAAAAGGGCGAGAAGAUGGUCCGACUCCAUCCGAAGGCA